CCUACGGGCGGCAGCAGUGAGGAAUAUUGGUCAAUGACCGGAAGGCUGAACCAGCCAAGCCGCGUGAAGGACGAAGGUGCCAAGCAUUGUAAACUUCUUUUGUCCAGGGAUAAAAUCAGGCACGAGAGCCUGAUUGAGGGUACUUGAAGAAAAAGCAUUGGCUAACUCCGUGCCAGCAGCCGCGGUAAAACGGGUGAUGCGAGCGUUAUCCGGAUUUAUUGGGUUUAAAGGGGGCGUAGGCGGGCUGUUAAGACAGCGGUAAAAGCCCGGGGCUCAACCCCGGCGCGCCGUUGAAACCUGCUGUCUUGAGAUGUCGAGAGUUAGGCGGAAUGCGCAGUGUAGCGGUGAAAUGCUUAG
rnacentral:rRNA from 1 species